rnacentral:rRNA from 1 species
UACAGAGGUCUCAAGCGUUGUUCGGAUUUAUUGGGCGUAAAGGGUGCGUAGGUGGCGUGGUAAGUCGGGUGUGAAAUCUCGGAGCUUAACUCCGAAAUUGCAUUCGAUACUGCCGUGCUUGAGGACUGGAGAGGAGACUGGAAUUCAUGGUGUAGCAGUGAAAUGCGUAGAGAUCAUGAGGAAGACCAGUGGCGAAGGCGGGUCUCUGGACAGUUCCUGACACUGAGGCACGAAGGCCAGGGGAGCAAACGGG